CGAGCAGAGGGGUGUUAGACGUGGGCUUCAAGGAUCAUGUUUUCAGAAACGCUAUACUUUACAGUGCAGCACCUGUAUAGAAAGAAGCAGGACUGUGAUCUGGGUGGGUGACAGCCUGGGUGAGGAGAGACUCCCACACAGGAGUCAUCAGCCACAGCAUCCACUGUGCAGAACCUCAAAAUGUGUCCCAUGCCCCCUCUGAAUUGAGCAUAAACUUGGACACAUCAAGUCCGCUUCCUUAGACUCAGAGCCCCUAUAGCACAUAUACGCACGAUCUCCAAGGAGAAGUACACAGUAUUAGAUGAGUUCAGCUUACCUUUCGGCUAUUAACAAUUAAUUCGUGCUGCCAUUGUGUUUUUAUAAAAAAGACUUUCUUUUCCACCUCUCUCCCAUUCAUCAUGUUCCAUAGAGCUCAGCUCUGUGAUCAGGAAACCAAUUGUAAAGUCCAGAAUGAGGACACGGGCUCUACAUGGUGUGGAAUGGCAGUGAGACGGGCUAGGACUUCAGAACUCAACUGAUCACACACAGGAGGGAGAAGAACAACCAAGCUGGGCUUCAAGAUGCCUUAUUUGGACACUAGUUUUUGAUGUGUCUCUGAUGGUUAUUAACCAGACAUUUCAAGGGCAAGAAACUAUUUCCCCAAAACUACCUUUUGAGACAUUUCCAGAGGCUGCCCUGUCCUCUCUGUCCAGAGACUCAGCCCCGACUCACCUCCUCUAGGAAGUCUCCCACACGGACCUCGCUCUGCUCCCUCCUCCUCACGGCUGACCCUGCUGGGUCGUCCUGCCAGCUCGGACACUUGUUUGUUGUGGCUUUUGUAAAAUACUCUGUAGUCAUUUUCCUGUGGGUGUGUCUUUUCUACUGCCCAGUGCCCCAGCUUCCCAG
rnacentral:lncRNA from 1 species